GGAACAGGUCAAACUCUGGGGUGGGGCUGUGUCCCGACAAACCUGAUCUUUUUUCUUUUUUUCUACAGCCCACCUGUUACGUACAGAAGGGAGCGGAGACACAGGAAGCGAGGAUGCAGAGAGGCGUGGAACAGACGAACACACUGGAGAUCACAGGAGACGUGGAGACACAAGGGAUCACAGGAGACAGCAUUAAAUAAUGCACAACAUCAGUGUGUCGUGUGGAGAGAUUAGGACUGACGGCGGGUUUGAAUACAGACUUCAUGAUGAUUUACUGAAUCACACAGUCAGUGGAGACUGUGAGCAGAGCUGGUAUUCAGAGG